rnacentral:rRNA from 1 species
CAACCUGCCGAUGACUCGGGGAUAGCCUUUCGAAAGAAAGAUUAAUACCCGAUGGCAUAGUUCUUCCGCAUGGUAGAACUAUUAAAGAAUUUCGGUCAUCGAUGGGGAUGCGUUCCAUUAGGUUGUUGGCGGGGUAACGGCCCACCAAGCCUUCGAUGGAUAGGGGUUCUGAGAGGAAGGUCCCCCACAUUGGAACUGAGACACGGUCCAAACUCCUACGGGAGGCAGCAGUGAGGAAUAUUGGUCAAUGGACGAGAGUCUGAACCAGACAAGUAGCGUGAAGGAUGACUGCCCUAUGGGUUGUAAACUUCUUUUAUACGGGAAUAAAGUGAGGCACGUGUGCCUUUUUGUAUGUACCGUGUGAAUAAGGAUCGGCUAACUCCGUGCCAGCAGCCGCGGUAAUACGGAGGAUCCGAGCGUUAUCCGGAUUUAUUGGGUUUAAAGGGAGCGUAGGCGGACGCUUAAGUCAGUUGUGAAAGUUUGCGGCUCAACCGUAAAAUUGCAGUUGAUACUGGGUGUCUUGAGUACAGUAGAGGCAGGCGGAAUUCGUGGUGUAGCGGUGAAAUGCUUAGAUAUCACGAAGAACUCCGAUUG